CCUACGUGGGGCAGCAGUGAGGAAUAUUGGUCAAUGGCCGUAAGGCUGAACCAGCCAAGUCGCGUGAGGGAAGAAGGAUCUAUGGUUGGUAAACUUCUUUUAUAGGGGAAUCAAGGUAGCCACGUGUGGAUCUUUGCAUGUACCCUAUGGAUACGCAUGGGGUAACUCCGUGCCAGGAGCCGCGGUAAUACGGAGGUAGCGGGCGUUAUGCGGGUUUAUUGGGUUGAAAGGGUGCGUAGGGUGCGUUUUAAGUCAGCGGUGAAAGUUUGUGGCUCAACCAUAAAACUGCCGUUGAAACUGGAAGACUGGAGUGUGUUUGAGGUAGGCGGAAUGCGUGGUGUAGCGGUGAAAUGCAUAGAUAUCACGCAGAACUCCGACUGCGAAGGCAGCUUACUAAGCCAUAACUGACACUGAAGCACGAAAGCGUGGGGAUCAAACAGGAUUAGAUACCCGGGUAGUC
rnacentral:rRNA from 1 species